rnacentral:misc_RNA from 1 species
UUUUUUGGCCAGGUUCGCCUGUAUUAUAAAAUUAUGUCUCUGAAGUAGAGGAAUAAUAUUUUUUUUUAUCUCAACAAUAAUGCUUCCUUUGUUUUGUUUAUUAUGAAAUAGAUUUUUAUCUGAUUUCGGGGAUGGUGGGAACGAGAGAUUUCACAUAUGCAAUCUACUCUGGGUUUUAUUACUUUUUUUGUGUUUUAUUUUUUUAUGUAACUAAUGAAUAAAUUUAUUACUUUAAAUUAAAAAAUAAAUUAAUGAUGUAGGAAAAGAAAAUUUAAAUUAAAAAUUAUAACUUGAAAUUAAAAUGGAACUUGAAUGAGUCACAAACCAGGACUCAAAAAUUUAAAAAAAAGAUUAUAUUUCAAUUUCUUUCUGUCAUUUUCGUUUCAAUCAUCGAGGCCUGGAUGUUUGAAUCUGGAAUUUAAAUAACACCAGAGGGAUCUUUUCAAUAUUUUGAAAGCUGAGUCUACCGUGGAUCACCAGGGCAAUGAAACACCUGUCCGUAUU